rnacentral:rRNA from 1 species
AACGCACCUUGCGCUCCUUGGUAUUCCGAGGAGCAUGCCUGUUUGAGUGUCAUGGAAUUCUCAACUCAUCAGUCUUGUUAUGAGGCUUUGAUGGGCUUGGAUUUGGAGGUUUAUGCUGCAUUUGUAUUAAUGCGGCUCCUCUUGAAUGUAUUAGUAGAACCUGCCAAGCAGUUCUCAGUGUGAUAAUUGUCUACGCUGUGGCUUGCUUGGAUCUUAUAAAUUUCAUGCUUCAAACCGUCUGCAUUAGUGGACAAUUUAUUUGACAAUCUGACCUCAAAUCAGGUAGGACUACCCGCUGAACUUAA